UCACGGGUGGGGCCCCUCAUGCGGCUUUGUCCCCCUCUACGUUAGUAUUUUACAGCAGUGGGGCAUAUUACGUAUCUCCUUCUAUACAUUCCGCAGUUACAUAUUUCUUCACUUCAUAAAUCUAUGUAAUGUGCACGAAACUCGCGCGAGAUCCACACUGGACUCGCAUGAAUAGUGUCUUGGUUUCCUUGAC